AUUUUAGAACCUGGUAUGUGACGUCACAGAGGAUCAAGCGGACCAUGACGCAAAGAUGGAAUGAAGAAAAGUCAGCGAUUAAAGCUGCCGAAGAAAAGCGCAAGACGAAGAACAAAGACGAAGACGCCAAUAUAAGGAUGCCGGUUUGAGGUGUUUGUAAGCUUUAGUGUGUAUAGACCUAUUAUAAGUGUGUAUAGGUUUAGUAUAGGUGUGUACGCGCGAAGAAAGAAGAUCAAAGACGCCGAUAAAGGAUGUCGGUUUCAGGUGGUUUAGGUUUAGUGUUUAAGUAUGAGUGUGUUUGUGUGUGCGUGUUAGCUGGUGCACUCUUACAGUGUUGCCAGCUAUUUUUUUGCUGGAUCUAAUGUUGCCAGCUAUGUCCCCAAGCACUUUUCAGUGCUUCUACAUGUCUUUGAAAUAAAUGCAAAGGAAUUGUUGCAACAAUCUUACUUGAUAAAGAUUAGCAUCUACUGUAGUGUUCAUUCCUUCCGAGUGUUUUACCUGUCGGGACUUGAAUCUUACAGCGGUUUUGUAUUGUCUCGGUUUGCUUUGCGAGAACUCUGUUUUGGUACACAUAUACUCGAGUAAUAUCAACGCGCAGUAAAAUAUACAAACCAAUAAUUUUAAUUCCCUUUGUUAAUACUUUAUUCAUUUAAAAUUUAAUAUAUAAAGUCCCCACAUCAUUAAAGUUAAAUUUAAUUUAACACAACAUCGCGUAUGGCAUAAUUGGGACGAUGGCCACGUCACAAUUACGCUUUACGUCGAUGCGGUGGGUCAGCAACGUCAUGACCCUGCGUUCGGUGCGGUUACGUCACGGUCGGUUUAGUUACGUUACAGCUGCGGGUUUGUUACGUGGACGUCGCCGCUUAGCGGUAUACGUAACAGCCACAGUAUGUCGUAACGGUCGAUGCGGUGCGUAACAGCCGGACGAUAUUAUAUUGUGUGAAGAUACGACGAGAGUAUCGCGGUACCAAGAU